UCGGUGCUCAAGCCGGACAUCCGCGCCUAUCUCGAAGCCGAGAAUGCCUACGCCGACACGGUGAUGGGCCACACCGAACCGUUGCAGAAGAAGCUGGUCGCGGAAAUGCGCGGCCGCAUCAAAGAAGACGAUUCCAGCGUUCCCUCGCCCGACGGGCCGUUCGCCUACUUCCAGAAAUACAAUGAAGGCGGUCAGCACGAGCAGAUCGGCCGAACCGCGCGCGAUGGCAGCGGCGAAGCCCGUUUCAUCAUCGACGGCGAUGAACUCGCCAAGCAGACCGAAUAUUUCCGGUUCG
rnacentral:misc_RNA from 1 species